ensembl:lncRNA
AAUGGCGGCGCUGCCCUCCCGCCCUCGGCGCCGUCCCAGCCGGGCUGCCCCGCGUCCCGUCUGAGAUCCCGCACGGGGCGGAGCGAAACUUCGCGGCAGACUUAACCUCAGCUCGGGCCGCGAGCGGAGCGGUGGGGUGGGUGAUGAGGUGGGGAGGUCUGAAACCCCAAAGCCUUCACGCGUGGCUCCUGGUAGCUCCGGAGCAGGCUGCGGGGGUGGUGUGGGUUUAACCGCAGCAGCACGGGCUGCAGACCGCAGUCUCCUCCCUUGAGGCAGCAGGGUAGGAUAAUUCAUGGUACUCCUCCAGCCGAGGGCACGUUUGGCUUAUCUGAUCCCUGGGGCUUGUGGGGCCGGCUGAUCCGCUGCUAAACCCACCUUUGAAGCCACAGCAGAGAUCAUCUCUGUUGGGAAGCAGAGGCUGUGCAGCUGGGUGAAGCCCUCUGUGUGGUGGCAGAGGAUGAUGGCCUCUCAUCAUCCCACCUGUCCCGGGCUGCCCUGCACAGAAGGAGAAGAUGGGGAAAGGAGCUGCACCCAGCAUGCUACUGUCAGUGCUGCACCUCGAGGUCACACACAACAAGCUGGUGAUGGUGACAAACCAGAGCCCCCAAAGAACAAGCAACAAACAGUUUUACUCCUGAACCUCAGCCCAUGACACUCUUGUUCAUUUCUAGUCAUCACGAAUGGCUGGAGGUAUCACUGGACUCCAGCCAGAGCAAAAGAUGAAGGGGCUGGAGGACAGUUGGCCUUCCAAGCAGGAAGAUGUCAGCUGCUCCCUCACAGCAGUGUGGUUGUCUGCUGGAACACAACCCCACAGCCAUCUCAUCGGUGCUCUUCUGCUGCUGGGAGAGAAGCCAGCGGCCACCCAGCAUCAGUCAGUUUGCUCCAGCAGAGACUAAGCAGGUGUCAAUUCAGUCAUAAAUGCCAUGUUGCUCUAAGCACGUACACCAAAGAUGCUGAAACCAAAGGCCUUUCCUCUUCCAACCACACAAAAUGAACAGCUCAAGUAAUAAAUAAGCAGGUCUUCAGAUUAAUUAUUCUCAGUAUGAGCAAACAGAAAUGCAAUUUAAUUCAGCAUCAAAUGGUUGAGGACUGCUGUUCAUCCUCCACUGCUAGGAAACCAGAGUGAAGGAGAACACAGAUGAGGCAGAUCACAGUGCUAUGGUAAUAAUUCCUUUCAAAAUUAAUUUCUGCCUUGUUUUUCUCCUGUCCUCUUCUUUAGAGGACAUGAACUUGUAGGAAAUAGCCCUUAGUCUGCAAAGAAAGGAUGUGAUGAGAAGAGAUAAUGUUGGGCUGAGGAGCUCCUCUUCUCACACCACAAUGACAGGAGGUCACACCAGAUGCUUGCCCAGAGUCAGUUGGAUGGGAGGUGACUGGUCAACUACCAUCAACGUCAGUUCAGUCAGGCUGAUUUUGGACUGAAGUGGGUUACAGCAGGCUCUUAUGCCAGGUGCUGUAGGCAUGUGGAGCUUCAAAACAGUGUAAUGAAAGGAACAUCUUAGAACUGCAACUUCAACAACUCAAUCUGCUUUUGAAGUAAGUAUAUGCUUACAUUUACCAACACCCAAUUCUGCUUAUUUUAGGACUGCCCUUAUUACUAAUUAUAAAUCACAAAGCCUUUCUGAAAACAGAACUGUGC